rnacentral:rRNA from 1 species
UGAACCUACGGGGCGCAGCAGUGGGGAAUAUUGGGCAAUGGGCGCAAGCCUGACCCAGCAACGCCGCGUGAAGGAAGAAGGCUUUCGGGUUGUAAACUUCUUUUGUCAGGGACGAAGCAAGUGACGGUACCUGACGAAUAAGCCACGGCUAACUACGUGCCAGCAGCCGCGGUAAUACGUAGGUGGCAAGCGUUAUCCGGAUUUACUGGGUGUAAAGGGCGUGUAGGCGGGGAGGCAAGUCAGAUGUGAAAACAACGGGCUCAACCUGUGGCCUGCAUUUGAAACUGUUUUUCU